rnacentral:rRNA from 1 species
GAUCAUGGCUCAGAUUGAACGCUGGCGGCAGGCUUAACACAUGCAAGUCGAACGGUAACAUAAAGAAGCUUGCUUCUUUGAUGACGAGUGGCGGACGGGUGAGUAAUGCUUGGGAAUCUAGCUUAUGGAGGGGGGAUAACUACGGGAAACUGUAGCUAAUACCGCGUAGUAUCGAGAGAUGAAAGUGUGGGACCUGGCCGACCAUGCCNUAGGAUGAGCCAACUAGGGAGUAGGUAGUUGG